rnacentral:misc_RNA from 1 species
AAGUCGUAACAAGGUCUCCGUUGGUGAACCAGCGGAGGGAUCAUUACAGAGUUGCAAAACUCCCUAAACCAUCGCGAACGUACCCGUACCGUUGCCUCGGUGGGCGGCUCCAGGGCGGAGCCCCAGCCUUCACAGGCGCCCACCGGCCGGCCCAAUAUAUACAACCAUUUAUCUUCAUAGGCCUCUCUGAGUCUUUAUAUAAAUAAGUUAAAA